GACGAACGCUGGCGGCGUGCUUAACACAUGCAAGUCGAACGAAGUGGCGAACGGGUGAGUAACGCGUAAUCAACCUGCCCUUCAGAGGGGGACAACAGUUGGAAACGACUGCUAAUACCGCAUACUGAAGGAGGGGAUUGCGUCUGAUUAGCUAGUUGGAGGGGUAACGGCCCACCAGGGCGAUGAUCAGUAGCGUGGUUGAGGGGAUGAGCGGCCCCAUUGGGACGGAGCCACGGCCCAGACUCCUGCGGGAGGCAGGAGUGGGGAAUCUGCCGCAAUGGACGAAAGUUGGACGGGGCAACGCCGCGUGAGUGAUGCCGUCUUUCGGGUUGAAAAGUUCUUUUAAUCGGGACGCGGUACCGGAAUAGAAAGCCACGGCUAACUACGGGCCAGCAGCCGCGGUAAUUC
rnacentral:rRNA from 1 species